UACGAGGGGAGCUAGCGUUGUUCGGAAUCACUGGGCGUAAAGCGCACGUAGGCGGAUGUGUCAGUCAGGGGUGAAAUCCCGGAGCUCAACUUCGGAACUGCCUUUGAUACAGCACGUCUUGAGUCCGAUAGAGGUGGGUGGAAUUCCUAGUGUAGAGGUGAAAAUUCGUAGAUAUUAGGAAGAACACCGGUGGCGAAGGCGGCCCACUGGAUCGGUACUGACGCUGAGGUGCGAAAGCGUGGGGAGCAAACAGG
rnacentral:rRNA from 1 species